rnacentral:rRNA from 1 species
UACGAAGGGGCUAGGCGUUGCUCGGAAUCACUGGGCGUAAAGGGUGCGUAGGCGGGUUUUUAAGUCAGGGGUGAAAUCCUGGAGCUCAACUCCAGAACUGCCUUUGAUACUGAAGAUCUUGAGUCCGGGAGAGGUGAGUGGAACUGCGAGUGUAGAGGUGAAAUUCGUAGAUAUUCGCAAGAACACCAGUGGCGAAGGCGGCUCACUGGCCCGGUACUGACGCUGAGGCACGAAAGCGUGGGGAGCAAACAGG